rnacentral:rRNA from 1 species
GACAGAGGCCUCGAGCGUUAGGCGGAAUCACUGGGCUUAAAGCGUGUGUAGGCGGAUCGUUAAGUACCUUGUGAAAUCCCACGGCUCAACCGUGGAACGGCUGGGUAUACUGGCGGUCUUGGGCCAUUCAGGGGCGACUGGAACAAGCGGUGGAGCGGUGAAAUGCGUAGAUAUCUGGAGGAACACCGGUGGCGAAGGCGGCAUCCUGGACCGGUAUUGACGCUGAGGCGCGAAAGCCAGGGGAGCAAACGGG